CGGGUGAGUAAUGUAUGGGGAUCUGCCUGAUGGCGGGGGGUAACUACUGGAAACGGUAGCUAAUACCGCAUAAUGUCUGCGGACCAAAGCGGGGGACCUCCGGGCCUCGCGCCAUCAGAUGAACCCAUAUGGGAUUAGCUAGUAGGUAAGGUAACGGCUUACCUAGGCGACGAUCCCUAGCUGGUCUGAGAGGAUGAUCAGCCACACUGGGACUGAGACACGGCCCAG
rnacentral:rRNA from 1 species